GUUGGAAACGACUGCUAAUACCGCAUACGAUCUAAUCUCGGCAUCGAGGAUAGAUGAAAGGUGGCCUCUAUGUAUAAGCUAUCACUGAAGGAGGGGAUUGCGUCUGAUUAGCUAGUUGGAGGGGUAACGGCCCACCAAGGCGAUGAUCAGUAGCCGGUCUGAGAGGAUGAACGGCCACAUUGGGACUGAGACACGGCCCAG
rnacentral:rRNA from 1 species